UUCAUAAUCGGUUUCUUCUCUAAAACCAAUAUGAUUGUGCUUAGCCGCAAUCGACCUCCAAUCAACCGUUUCAUGUCAUUCGACCUCAGCAAUCAACCCAUCGGUGCUUAGCCGCAAUCGACCUCCAAUCAACCGUUUCAUGUCAUUCGACCUCAGCAAUCAACCCAUCGAUUUGAUUCUACUACAAAAAAUCAACCAUGUUCCAGGCGACCUCUUUAUGGCCAUGUUGGAGGCACGACAUUAACUUGUUAAAGAACACCAUGUUGCAUUUCUCAAGGAUGAAGUGGAAGAAUGGAAAGCCACGAAAGGUAGUAAGGUAGUAGUCGUAAUAUAACACAAUGUGUAGGACUGUAAGCUUGAUGUUUUCUUUUUUUCUAUCGUUCCCUUCAUGUGAUUGUCAUAAAUUUUCUGCAGGUUCUUUUUGAGACAACUAUUGUCUAAUGGUUUACAACAACCUCAUGUUCACAUAGGUUUGGGAAUUAAAUUUUAUCACAAAAUUGAGUCCUUUUUAUUGAUUGUGAUUUUAUAUUUUCAUUCCAACUAUUCAGCAUUCCUUAUCUUUUUAAUUCACAUUAGCAUCUUAUAAUUAGGUUUGAAAUUCACUGUUGAGUAUUUUUAAAUUUGCUUCCGAGAGACUGGAUAUUCUUCACAGAACCACCUUGAGCUAGGAGAGUUUUGGUGUGCUGUUAGUGGCUCGAGUGACGUGACUGAAACACAAUAAGAAAUUUCAAGACAAAGCAAUGUACACUAUGAAGGGAAGAAUAUUAAUGUUCAUGAUUUCAAAGUUUCUGGAUUUUUACAACCACAAUUGCAAGUGCUGGAGCUAAUGGAUCUGAUGUACAACUCUAACGAUAGCGACGGCCGGAUCUAGGAUGUUAGU
rnacentral:lncRNA from 1 species